AUUGAACGCUGGCGGCAGGCCUAACACAUGCAAGUCGAACGAGUGGCGGACGGGUGAGGAAUGGCUGGGAAACUGCCUGAUGGAGGGGGAUAACUACUGGAAACGGUAGCUAAUACCGCAUACCAUCAGAUGUGCCCAGAUGGGAUUAGCUUGUUGGUGGGGUAACGGCUCACCAAGGCGACGAUCCCUAGCUGGUCUUAGAGGAUGACCAGCCACCCUGGACCGGAGACACGGCCCAGACUCCUCCGGGAGGCAGCAGUGGGGAAUAUUGCACAAUGGGCGCAACCCUGAUGCAGCCAUCCCGCGUGGAUGAAGAAGGCCUUCGGGUUGUAAAGUACUUUCAGCGGGGAGGCGUUACCCGCCGAAGAAGCACCGGCUAACUCCGUGCCAGCAGCCGCGGUAAUUC
rnacentral:rRNA from 1 species